GGCCUGGUGGCGGAAUCGGCAGACGCUGCGGACUUAAAAUCCGCUGGGAGUUAAAUCCCGUGUGGGUUCGAGUCCCACCCAGGCCA
rnacentral:tRNA from 1 species